GGAAGGUUGUCCGAGCUGGCCGAAGGUGCACGCCUGGAAAGUGUGUAGGCGUCACAAGCGUCUCAAGGGUUCGAAUCCCUUACCUUCCG
rnacentral:tRNA from 1 species